GACGAACGCUGGCGGCGUGCCUAAUACAUGCAAGUCGAGCGGACCAAAGGGAGCUUGCUCCUGGAGGUUAGCGGCGAACGGGUGAGUAACACGUGGGCAACCUGCCUGUAAGACUGGGAUAACAUCGAGAAAUCGGUGCUAAUACCGGAUAAUAAAAAGAACUGCAUGGUUCUUUUUUGAAAGAUGGUUUCGGCUAUCACUUACAGAUGGGCCCGCGGCGCAUUAGCUAGUUGGUGGGGUAACGGCUCACCAAGGCGACGAUGCGUAGCCGACCUGAGAGGGUGAUCGGCCACACUGGGACUGAGACACGGCCCAGACUCCUACGGGAGGCAGCAGUAGGGAAUCUUCCGCAAUGGACGAAAGUCUGACGGAGCAACGCCGCGUGAGUGAUGAAGGUUUUCGGAUCGUAAAACUCUGUUGUUAGGGAAGAACAAGUGCCGUUCGAAAGGGCGGCACCUUGACGGUACCUAACGAGAAAGCCACGGCUAACUACGUGCCAGCAGCCGCGGUAAAGUAC
rnacentral:rRNA from 1 species